GGUACGCUAUAGUUUAUAAGAACAAUAAUAAGAACGUAAAACAAGCAUAAACUUCGUAUCAGUUACACGCAGCGACCCUUCGAACUGCAAAAAAAGACCCCUAAAAAAGGAGCACCGUCUCAGAAACACCGGUUGCAGAAUAAUGGAGCUUCCUUUUCGUUUCUCCGGCGACCACACCGACAGACCUGAUCCAACCUACCCCACCAUGUUGUGAUGAUGACCCAAAUAGAAACACGCCCAUUUGCAGAUUAAGAAAAAAUGGUCAGUCAAUCACGGCGUGAUGCUGCAAAACCAGCAGCACCUCCAUCGCCUGAUUUGGACCUGGAAAGUGGAAACCACCCGCCGCCGCCGGCGGCGGCGGCCAGAGCAACAUGCCUCCCUCCGAGAUGUCAUCUCAUUCACCCGCCUUCCCUUCCCUUCCCUGACGUGGGUGUUUCAGCACAUUGAACCGAAAAGGAAACCGGAGGUGGUGACGAUACAUUCCCGCCGAAAAGCUGCAGAGAAGUAG
rnacentral:lncRNA from 7 species